rnacentral:rRNA from 1 species
ACUACGAGAGGCAGCAGUGGGGCAUAUUGCACAAUGGGGGAAACCCUGAUGCAGCGCCGCCGCGUGAGUGAAGAAGUAUUUCGGUAUGUAAAGCUCUAUCAGCAGGGAAGAAAAUGACGGUACCUGCUUAAGAAGCCCCGGCUAACUACGUGCCAGCAGCCGCGGUAAUACGUAGGGGGCAAGCGUUAUCCGGAUUUACUGGGUGUAAAGGGAGCGUAGACGGCAGCACAAGUCUGGAGUGAAAUGCCGGGGCUUAACCCCGGAACUGCUUUGGAAACUGUGCAGCUAGAGUGCAGGAGAGGUAAGUGGAAUUCCUAGUGUAGCGGUGAAAUGCGUAGAUAUUAGGAGGAACACCAGUGGCGAAGGCGGCUUACUGGACUGUAACUGACGUUGAGGCUCGAAAGCGUGGGGAGCAAACAGGAUUAGAUACCCGGGUAGUC